CUUGCUCUCUGGGUGACGAGCGGCGGACGGGUGAGUAAUGUCUGGGAAACUGCCUGAUGGAGGGGGAUAACUACUGGAAACGGUAGCUAAUACCGCAUAACGUCUUCGGACCAAAGUGGGGGACCUUCGGGCCUCACGCCAUCAGAUGUGCCCAGAUGGGAUUAGCUAGUAGGUGGGGUAAUGGCUCACCUAGGCGACGAUCCCUAGCUGGUCUGAGAGGAUGACCAGCCACACUGGAACUGAGACACGGUCCAGACUCCUACGGGAGGCAGCAGUGGGGAAUAUUGCACAAUGGGCGCAAGCCUGAUGCAGCCAUGCCGCGUGUGUGAAGAAGGCCUUCGGGUUGUAAAGCACUUUCAGCGAGGAGGAAGGGUGGUGUGUUAAUAGCGCAUCACAUUGACGUUACUCGCAGAAGAAGCACCGGCUAACUCCGUGCCAGCAGCCGCGGUAAUACGGAGGGUGCAAGCGUUAAUCGGAAUUACUGGGCGUAAAGCGCACGCAGGCGGUUUGUUAAGUCAGAUGUGAAAUCCCCGCGCUUAACGUGGGAACUGCAUUUGAAACUGGCAAGCUAGAGUCUUGUAGAGGGGGGUAGAAUUCCAGGUGUAGCGGUGAAAUGCGUAGAGAUCUGGAGGAAUACCGGUGGCGAAGGCGGCCCCCUGGACAAAGACUGACGCUCAGGUGCGAAAGCGUGGGGAGCAACAGGAUU
rnacentral:rRNA from 1 species